GUUUGUUGAAAAUCACCCACGGCUUUGGCCAUAGUCGUGGGUGAGAUUCGGCGCCCAGAAUGUCCAGGGGCCUUAGCUCACCGCCCGCUGCCGGUGUGGGAGGGUGAAACCCAGGCCCCGACACCC
ensembl:snoRNA